rnacentral:lncRNA from 1 species
AUAACCUAUACAAAGCAUGGACAGGUUUUGCUGGGCUUAUCUCCAAAAAUGUUUAAUUGGUAUCUUUCUUUUUACUUUUCCUCCAGCUUUAGUUUUUUUUUUUUUUAAACUUUCUUUUUGCCUCAUCGUUAUGAACUCCCCAUCUCACUCAAAGGAGCUUUGCUUAGAAAAUGACCAAGAGCAUCCAUCUAUCAACAGAACUAAAGAGACCUCCUGGACAAUCAGUUCAUCGUUCAUUCAAUGUUUAUUACAAAACACCCUACUUAAUGUUGUUCUUAAAAAUCUGCUGGCUUAAGUGGCAUUUCAGUUACAGAAUGUCUGAUUAUUAGAGUGGUAUUCAUUGAGAAAGGCCCAGCCAUUCCUUGAUAUCUCUUCAUAAUUAUGCUCUUCAACAUCUUUCACUACAGGUUUUUUGGGAAAUGGUGAAUUCAGCACCACAAAUCAGAUGGGGAGGGAGUAAUAAUGACUUGAGUGUCCCAAAAGACAGCCUGACUCCCUCUGCAUGGUUCACCACUGGCCAGCUGGGAAUACUCUGACCAUUAUUACAGGUCAUACUUGUAGUCCUGGCGUCUUACUUAGACUGUGAAGGCUGAACUUUAGUCCUGUCCGUUGGGCAGUGGGGCAGGGGCAGGCAGAAUGAACUGCAUAGCCCCCCAGCCCUUAGUGAGCUUCUGAACCAGAAGCUGCUUAUCAGAUUUUGCAUCAAUACCUGGAUUGCACUUGUCGGUUAGGGUUACUACAGUUUAGAAUCAAUAAAUCAAAAUUUCCAGAAAAAUUCUGAAGAUUACAGAAGGAUUUGUUGAGAACAGUUGAAAGCACUCUGUUGAGUAAGAGGGAUGGAGAUUUUAGAAAGCAUGAAUUUUUACUAUAACACACGAAAUAACUACAAAAUAUAUUUAGCAGGAAGCUAAUAAUUCCAGUUCUGCCUCCUGGAGGAACUGAUCGGAUGCCAGCCUACAUAGCCUUCAAAAUGCUAAUCUAGUUUCUUCUGUUCCAUCUUGCUUUCUGUUAACCCUCUUGCUUCCUUGUGACCCAGUAUAUGAAGAGAAACUGUGUGGCAUCAGUAAAGCAAGCUGUUACAGAAGCUGAGCUGUCAAUUUAGCAUUUGGCAGGAGAAUAGAAGACUGUUCAGUGAAAGCCUUGAUUUUAUUUUUGUUAGGCCAGCAAACAAUAGCAGCAUGCUGGCUUUGAGGCUAAAAAGAACAAAACAAACGAAUACCUCUUGCUGCCAUUUCUAUUUCUAAUCCAAAAAGGGAGGUGUCUCCUCCUUUCCCCCCUCUUCUCUGGCAUCAAGGAGUCUUAAGUAGCCACACUGAAAACUGGUCUAUAUUUCUGAUAAUGAAAGCCUAAAACCAAUAUCCAAACAGACAGAUGGAUGGGUAAGUAAGUAGGUUAGUAGGUGGGUGUAUGGAUGAAUGGAUGACUGAUACUUGUCAUUCUCCCAGACGUUGAUUCCCAUUUUUUUUCCUGCUCUGACCCUCUUAUCUUCCUGUUCUCCUCCACAUUGCUAUCUGCUCAAUACAGUUAUUCUCUUUAUAAAUCAGCCUAUUUAGAGAGGACAAAGACUUACUAAUCUAAAACCUUCAUGCUGCCAUCAGCAGUUUCCUGGUUCAUAGCAGUUUCCUAUCAUGGAGAUGACAAUGCUGAGAAAAAAAAACCUUCCAGAAGCAUCUCAUUGCUCUUUCACAGUAUAGUCUACCAUUUUCUUGCUGGGCUAAAGUAUCAGUGCUAUGUUUUUCAUAAGCCCCCUUUUCUUUUAGAGAAUUGGACAAAAAUCAAAGGACAAAAGUCUUUCUGUGCUUGUGUACCAUUUAUGGGGAAGCCUCUAAUGCCCUAGCAGGAGGAUUGUUCUAGAGGUUAAGGGGUUGUCAAUUUGAUUUCUUGGGGUGAAAUUUUCAGAACUAUGCCUGUUCUGAGACAAUUCCAAUGUUAAAGAAAAUGCUUGUUUGGGAUAGAUUUUUCUCUGUAACUUGUCAGUGAGAGUUCUUAUUGUUUGUUUCUUUUGACAUCUUUUUCUGUUUCUUCAAUUACUCCUUAUCUUCUCUGAUGUCUUCAUGUCCUCUAUUAGUAUCUCUGCUACAAUUUUCCUUUGGAAAUAUCUUUAGACAUCUUUGAAAUGGGAAAUGGCUUUUCUAAAUUUCACAAGAUCCAAAGGGACUUGUCUUGUACAAAAUUAUCAGUCAGUUAAAUAGUAAUAUCAGGAUUUUAAAGACCCUGUCUACCUUCCUAUUAGAACCACUGAAUGUUGUGAUUUUUUCUUAUUAGAUGUUAACACGUUUCACAUGUAUUCACAUCUCAUUACUCAUUAAUACUGUCUGAAGUAGGAUAAAGCAGGUAUUUUAAGUUCUACAUUUAGUCUGAGUGACCAAAGAAUUUAUCUUGUCAAGGUUCAGCCCUCAAUCAGAACAGAACUUUGAUGACAAAAAUGGUACUGGCUGUCAUGCUCCUUUGAAGAGCGAAGAACUCAGUUACGGUCCACACUUCACUUAAGAGAGAGAGCUAGGCAAGUUAUCCUAUUUCUUUGUGUUUCAAUUUCCUCAUUUUAAAAUGAAUAAAAAGUAUUGCAUAUUUCAUAGGGUUAUGAUGUAGAUUUUUAUGCAUAUCUGAAGUGUACAAAAAAGCACCCAAACAUAGUAAGAACUUAGUAAAUGCUGAUAAUAUUUCUAGAACUACUAUUCUAAUUGUUUGAGGUACCAAUGAGAUUAAACUUGGUUCCCUAAAAAAAGAUGUGACAUUGAAAGAUAUGAUAUUGCUUAACAUUUUCUUUGUUUUUUUAAAAAUCCCAGCUAUUCUUGAAUGCUGCAAGAAUUAGAACUAGAAAGCAUCAACUAUUUUAUGUGUCCAUGUAUCUUAUAUGCAUUUAUAAAUAUGUAUGCAUGCAUAAUGGAAAUUUGUGUGUUUACACAUAGGUGAACGUAAUACAGAAUUGAUGUUUUACACAAAUGAUAACAAACUACAUUCACGCAUCAUUAUUUUCUAUUUUCCAUGAACAUAUUUUCAAAAUUGGUGUAUAUAAUUUGUUUCAUUAUUUGUGAAGGCUGAAAAUUAUUCCAUUGUACAUAUGAACCAUAAUGUAACUUCUUUUCUACUGAUGGGUAUGUAGGCUGCCUCCAAUUUCUGCUUUUACAAAUAAGGCUCUUGAAAUGAACAUCUUUAGAGACAGGUUGUUUUAAAUACUGUGGAAGAAUGUCUUGAUUUUUUUUUAUUAUUCAACUUGAAAGAGUAUCCCUAUAUUUAUUUUAAUUUUGUGAUAUGUGUAUACAAUAUAUUUAAUAAAUGUAACAUGUCAUAUAUCACAUAUAUCAAGCAUACAGCAGAAAUAAACAUUGUUAAUGUAUGUAAAAAUUUCCUGUAAGCAAUUAACCUCAAUUUUGGUAUUCUUUUAAGUUUUAAUCCUGUGAUGUAAGGGUCUUAUCCUAGAUUUUCAGGUUAUCUUGGAGGUUAGACUUAUGGGCUAUAUUCCUUGAUCAUCUCUCAUAUUUUAUUAUUUGUAUCUACAGAAAUGAAGAUUUAUUUUUCUUAUUAGCUCUCUUUAAAUACAAGGAAGUUAUUCUAAACAUUUGGAAGACCAAGGAAUUUCUCACAGCAGUAAAGCAGUACUGAAGGGUUCAGUAUAAAUAUCCACUGUUGAAAAAUACAAAUUUAAACUCAUAGGAAAAAAGAUUACAUUGAAUUUCAUUGGAAAAAAAAAAAAGCAUGGGCUGAGAAACACCGUUCAUUUGUUCAUGAUUGUGGUAGUCAGCUUUCCAUCCUUGUGACAAAUACCCAAGAUAAAAUAAACUUAUAAGGAGGACGGAUUUAUUUUCUCAUGGUUUCAGAGGUGUCACUCCAUGCAUGGUCAGUUAGCUUUGGGUCUGGGGUGAGGCAGAAUGUCACAGUGAAGAACAUGUGGUAGACCAAAUCCGCUCAUUUCAAGGUGGCAAGGAGGGAGGGGGAGUCCUAACGUCCCCAUAAAAGGCAUGCCCCCACCAAAACCUCACCUUCUGCCUCUGGGCCCCACCUCCUAAAAGUUGUACCACCUCUCAACAGCACCACAGACUGGUGACUUUUGAGGGACAUUUAAGAUCCAAACCAUAACAGUGGGCAUUGAG